GACACUUCCAGCGAAAACAGUGGGGAGGUUUCAGAACCUCCUGUAAGAACACCCACUCCUCGCCGGAAACUGUCACGCAGAGAUUCCAGAAGACGUGUUUCCGUUAAGGAGCUUUUAUGUUGGAAGCGAUUACGAAAGCAACCACUGUCGGAAUCUGCUAGUGACUAGAGCAGCCAUGUCUGAGGGGCUCCGUCACAGACAGAGGUUUGUGGACUUGAACAAACUCUGAGGGGAUACUAUUUUACGCACAAGCAGCUCAUCAUCCCAUCACA